GACGAACGCUGGCGGCGUGCUUAACACAUGCAAGUCGAACGGAAAGGCCCUGCUUUUGUGGGGUGCUCGAGUGGCGAACGGGUGAGUAACACGUGAGUAACCUGCCCUUGACUUUGGGAUAACUUCAGGAAACUGGGGCUAAUACCGGAUAGGAGCUCCUGCUGCAUGGUGGGGGUUGGAAAGUUUCGGCGGUUGGGGAUGGACUCGCGGCUUAUCCGCUUGUUGGUGGGGUAGUGGCUUACCAAGGCUUUGACGGGUAGCCGGCCUGAGAGGGUUACCGGCCACAUUGGGACUGAGAUACGGCCCAGACUGCUACGGGAGGCAGCGGUGGAGAAUAUUGCACAAUGGGCGGAAGCCUGAUGUAGCGACGCCGCGUGCGGGAUACCGGGCUUCGGGUUGUAAACCGCUUUCGCCUGUGACGAAGCGUGAGUGACGGUACUGGGUAAAGAAGCACCGGCUAACUACGUG
rnacentral:rRNA from 1 species